rnacentral:misc_RNA from 1 species
AAGUCGUAACAAGGUUUCCGUAGGUGAACCUGCGGAAGGAUCAUUACAAGGUACCUAGCCUACCCGGCUAGAACCUCCAACCACUGUGUACCAAACUUUUGUUGCCUCGGCGGGCUGGGUGCCCACCAGCGCCCCCCCUAGGGGAGUCGCCCGCCGAUGGACCUUUAAAACUUCUUUGUGGAUGAACGUCUGAUUCAAUUUUAAAAGAAAUACAACUUUCAACAAUGGAUCUCUUGGCUCUG